ensembl:lncRNA
CCCAUGUAAACGCAUUUAAUGACAUCAAACGUCAUUGGUUCUGAUGUGUCUCAUUACAAAGUUUAAUUGACCAGUUGCUUCAGUGCAGAAUAAUGAAUAAUGACUUAAAUUUUAGCCAGUUCCUCACACAAAACAUCAUGUGACUUCAGAAGACUUGAAAUAUAGUGCACUAGUCAUAUGGACUGAUUUAUGAUCAUUUUUAGAGUCAAGUCAAGUCACAAUUAUUUAAAAAGCUGUGUCAAAGCAGCUUAACAGUAUUAAAUGGGGAAAUAGUGUGUCUUUCUCCUCUGGCCAGACAAACCCAGUUUAAUCUAUGCUGCAGCAGAGUCAGAUUGUGCAGAGGAUUCAUCUGGUUCCCGUGGUCUUGUCCCAAUGGCCGUCUAGAUGUCCUGGUCUCCACUGACAUUUCAGGGGAAUUAUUAAGUUUGCCCACAAAACCAGUGCAAAUAACUCAGCGCUGACCUGCCGGAUGGCUUUGGAAGGGCAACCUCCCAGAGGGACGGCGUUGGGAGCUUAAUUAGAAUGUCAGGAGA